GCUACCUAUAAAGAGCAGAGGAAUCGAGGUUCUGCGCAGUUUGUGAAACAAACAGCCGGACGAACAGUAAAUACACACCGGGACGCUGCCCCUUCUUGGACCUCAAACUCUGCAAUUAAAAUUCGGGGUCUCUCCCCACCGCCUUCGAGGUCUGCUCCAGACCGUCAGCCUCAGCAGCUUUUGAAAGUGGCAAAGUUGUGCGGUUGACAGUCUUGUACACACAUUAGAGAUAAUCGAACUGCGCUCCGACCGAAGACCCCUGAAUCAUAUCACUUCAAGGCUGGGACUUUAAGAUUUGGCACUUCUGUUUCAGAUCAGUGUCAACCGUGUGUCAUCUUGAGAGGGCUCCACAAGAAUGGUAAAAUAAUCCAGUAACGUGGUGGAGACAGAUGCAAUGAGAGUGGCCACGAGUUGACAGAUAAUGUUGGAAAAGUGGGGAAGACUUCGGGGAGCUUCAUAAGGCAUUUGCCUCCAUUCGUCUACACACACAAAAAUAUCCGUUCCAAAAGAAACCAGAAGGUCUGGCAGCUCUCUACAUAUGGGACCAUCUCUUUUUUUGUGUGCCUUGGGAAGGACAGCUCGCUUCUAAGUGGCAGGCACUACUGGAUCCCAUCCAAGAUAUUACAUCACAUUUAAUUGUCACGUCUCUUGGGGCGCCUGGGUGGCGCAGUCGGUUAAGCGUCCGACUUCAGCCAGGUCACGAUCUCGCGGUCCGGGAGUUCGAGCCCCGCGUCGGGCUCUGGGCUGAUGGCUCGGAGCCUGGAGCCUGU